AGGUAAGGAGAGGUAUUAAGUGGUCUAGGUCUUGAGUGGAAGACUAGAAAUUUUGUAGAAAAGUAAAUGCUUCGCGCGCGCGGAGUGACCCCAUCUUGGUGGAUCCAGGGGUUUCCAGAUGUACCUGCAGUUGUUGGAUUAUCCGUGAAGACAUAGUCUGAAUGAGCAGAAAAUGUGACUUCUUUGUUUUGCAGUGGGUGACGUGUCCUGGCAGUCACAAUACGGAAUUGAUGUUUUGGUGAGAGGUUGAUAUGCAACUCUUUGUAUUUGUGUAGUCGUCGUACUACGGUGAUCCAUCACGUGGCACAACUGAGUUUUUAGCGUAGGUGUAGUUGUAUGUGUAGAUGUACACAUGUGGUGCAAGUGUGAGAGUAAAAGUGGUUACUCAUGAAUUGAUGAAAUGAAAGUAGACAAAGUAGCAGGAAAAGUUGUAGAGUUUACAGGUACCCAUUAGUAAGUUGGGUUGAGGUAUAAUGAAAAGGACUUAAAGGAAGUCGAAUAGCAGCCUACGCAGAGCACCGGAUUUACGAAAUAUGUGGAAAUAUGUGGAAAGAUAUGAUGUUUUGGAGAAAUUGCUGAAGUUAGAGUCGAAAUGAGACGAGUUAUUUUGCCAAGUUUUUCUUAAAUGUUGAAAAAAUCAUCAGUGUCGAGAUGACGGAUCUAUCAACAUCAAUGAUCCAGGAUCUCAAGGAUUUUUCAAGAGGACUUCCAAUUAGACACAACAACACGAUGAAUACGAUAAACGAAGUUUACAAAUCUUGAUACCACGAGAGGAAAAAGAAGAAAUUUCUCUGGACAGUUAUUUCAUGAGGGUCCCAGGCAGACAGAAGAAAAGGAAUAUUUAGAUUUCUUUAUUUCCAAGAAGUUGUUUACGACUUGUGGUUGCUGCUACACCACAUUUUGUAAUUUGAAGCCUGCAGUAUAAGUGGUUACCAACUACUUAUCCAAGAGUAUCGUUGAGGACGAACGAUCAAGGACCAAGGAGCCUAUGAUUAAGGAUGAGAAACGAAGGACGAAGAAGCGGAUGUCCAGGAACCAAUCACCAGGGGCCAAGUACCGGGUCAACGACUGAACGAGUCUACAGAAAAAUGAUAACCAGAGCAUUGGAAGAGGAAAGGAUUUCUUUGUAUAAUUAUUAUUGCACAAACAUCAGCAAUAAUGAGGAGCAACAACCAGAAUCAGCUACCAGGACCUUAAGAGGAACGAUUCACCAAGGACCAUCAACUAACGAAAUAAAUCCUAGCUGUCUAGAUUUUGAAUGAUAUUUUGUUGGUCAAUGUUAUGUGUUCUUAGGUCAUGUAAUUGAAAUUAUAAUGUUUUGAAUUGUA